GACAUCUGGACACGUGUGUUUUGUUUUGUCAUGUCUCCUCCCUGUUCUGUCAUUGGCUGGGAUUUCACGUGGGUCUGUAUUGCUUUCAGCUGCUAGCAGUUUAGACGCUGAUCAUGUCCGCAUAUAUACCGCGCGCCUCCCAGCACACAACGCGGAAGAUUAAUACCAUAGAGUUAGAUUAGUUCGUAUCGUAGUCAUAGUCACGGUCCAUGUUUAGAGUUAGUUCAGUUCGUAUCGUAGUCAUAGUCACUGUCCCUGUCCAUGUUUAGAGUUAGUUCGCGCUGGAUUAUCCGCUUCCAGUCCCUCGUCAUAGUUCGUUUCUUGUUUUGUUUAUCGACCCUGUUUUCCGUGACCACGACCUAGAUUCCUGCCUUGCCCCUUGACGUCGCUCCGCUUUCAUGCUCCGCCGAGGACUUCGCUCAGCCUGCCUGCCCGGCUGUGGAUGUCGCUCAGCCUCCUUGUUCAGCCGAGGACGUCGCUCCGCUUUCAUGCUCCGCUGAGGACUUCGCUCAGUCUGCCAGCCCUGCUAUGAACGUCGCUUCGCUUCCCUGCGCCGCCAAGAACACCGUGCAGUUUCCUGGCUCUGCUUGGGACAUUCAGCCCAGGGGGCCAAUUAAAUGGGAUGACUCAUGGCACUCCGGGAGGAGUGCCUUUGGGGGGGUUCUGUCAUGAUUCCCCCUUGAAGCAGCGUGCUCUAAGCGCGAAUGCGCAAGCACCUGUUUUUCCGUUGUUGACCGUAAUUACAUCUGGACACGUGUUUUGUUUGUUUCCGUCAUGUCUCCUCCCUGUUCUGUCAUUGGCUGGGAUUUCACGUGGGUCUGUAUUGCUCUCAGCUGCUAGCAGUUUAGACGCUGAUCAUGUCCGCAUACCACGCGCCUCCCGGCACACAAGGCCGAAGACUAAUGCCAUAUAGUUAGAUUAGUUCGUAUCGUAGUCAUAGUCACGGUCCAUGUUUAGAGUUAGUUCGCGCUGGAUUAUCCGCUUCCAGUCUCUCGUCAUAGUUCGUUUCUUGUUUUGUUUAUCGACCCUGUUUUCCGUGACCACGACCUAGAUUCCUGCCUUGCCCCAUGCAUGCCUGUUUGCCAAUCGCCUGACCUCUUGCAUGUUUAUGGAUUACGUUUUGGAUUUGUCUGCCUGUCUCUCUUUCAAAUAAACAACUGUUCAUCCUG